AUCAAACUAACAAGAUUUGGUGUUUUGCAAAUAAUGGAUGAAAUCAAAAAUAAAUUUGUAGGCAAAUGGAAACUUGAUAGAAGUGAACGAUUUGAAGAUUUCCUAAGGGAAUGCGGUGUUAAUUUCUUUGUCCGUAAGAUGGCGGGCAUGGCCUCACCCGUGUCGGAAAUCUCCGUCAAGGAGGACGAUAAAGUACAUAUUUCCAUGGUAACCUCUUUUAUGACACAGGAGGAUUGCUUUAAGCUUGGCGAGGAGUUUGAGAAGGACAUGCGUGGGAAUAAGAUGGUGGUAAUUUUUUUGUAUAAAUAACACUAUCAGAUAACAUGACUGCUCGAACUACAAUGUUUGCAUGAUUGUGUGCGCAUUUAAUUGAGGUGGUUACAGUGGUCAAUAAUCGUUUUUUUGUGUUGAAGGUAUCAGCUUGUAAACUCUACUGAUUUUCCUAGUCGUAUCAUAAAUGUUCCUGCGAGAAAUAAAAACAUAAGGGAAUGGUUUAUAUCUUUCCCAUCCAGUAUGCGUCAUUAAAUGUUAACUAUGACAUUUUCGCCACAGUUUGCGUACCAACACUUUACAAUAAUUGUUUAUGAACAGCAAAAUUUAUUCAAUAUUUUAUUUCCUAAAGGGAACAUCUUUUAUUAGACCCGACGUUAACUAACUUUCCAUGAUAAAAUAAUAGUUCAAAUGUCAGCAUGGAAAUGUUUGUCUAGCCUAGAACGAUAUCGAACAGUUGUCGUCAUAACUGUUGAAUUUGUUAGCAUGUGUCUGCUUGUAUUCCUUGAAGAUCACUAAAAUUAAAACCUUUCGCGAUGCUACAGACAAUUCCAUAAACAGACAAAUACAACUAAAAUAAGCAAAUCAAAUACAUUUUCAAACUAUAUGAGUAUUUUAAGAUAAAAAUUUAACCACUUUCAAUACCCAUUAAGGAGAAUAAAAAAGAUAAGCAACAUGUAUAUCCCUGAAUAAGAUAAAAAGGCAUACUUAUCAUCGAGCACUGCUUAAUGUUGUGAUAGAUUUACCUGUAUGUUAUUGAAUUGUACAAUUUAUAAUAUUACCUGUAUAUUUUUAAAGCAUUCAUUUAUCACAUACCAUGUUAACAUUGUGUUUCGACCAAUGUGUAGAAAAACUGAGAUAUUUAUUUUUUCAUUUCUGACAAUAGAUCUGCUUAUCUUUUGGUUUUUGUGUGCUAGUUUUUGCUAAAAGCUCUCAUACCCCUAUCAAGGAAAAAAACUGUUAAUAAAUCGUUGUCAUUUUUUUUUUAAUAUCUGAUGUCAUGGGAAAAUCGUCAACAUAUCGUUUAUAUCUGUCAUCUCUCGUAUGCGGUGAAUGCUCUUUUUUUUGCUCUUGUUUUUCCUACGACUGUACGACCAAGAGUAUAUACAUACUCUUGUUAAAAUACUUUUAUUGUGCAAUAAAACAUAAGAACAAUAUGACAUUUUGACACAAUCUUAACGUAAUCUUAUCGUUAUCGCACCAUUACGGAUGCGGGUAUGCCCGUUGUCUCCGCUCUCUGUGACAUAGGCGUAGGUAGAAGAAAUCGCAUCUAUCCGCAAAACAACUUUUGUGUCCAGUAUAGCACGACAAAAUCAUUUAUAUCUGAGUCUGUUGAAUAAUAAACGAUAUUAAUUAAAUGGCUACGUUAUUUUUUUCUAUCAAAACUAAACAUCAUCAUUUUAUAGUGUGUUAUAUUUUAUCAGUUAUAUGAUACAUUUGAGAAGCAAAGUUUAAUUAAGGUUGCGUAUUGUCAUCCUCAUCAGUCUUUCGUGACUAUUUCCUGUAAUACAAGUAGAAAAAAUCUUAAUUAUCGGUUUCCAUAAAUAAUUUUGUUUCCUGAUUGGAAGUAAACUUUCAUACCUUUUGAUUUUAUUCGUUCAACGGUAGCUGACCUUUAGCGAAAUGUAUGAUUCAGCUUUUACAUAUAUAUAUGUUCUUUUUGUUAUUAACUACUUUGGUUCAUGGUUGAGACGUUUUGGUUCGAUCCUUCAUUUCACCGUCCAAUAUCUGUAUACAAAUUCCAAAACUUCAACUAUAUUUAAUCAACAAAAAAAAAAUGGGGAAAAAACGACAUUACUUUAUAGAAAGCAUAGGUACCAUGCAUGAUAGUUAUAUAUCUUUCGAUUUCAAAAUUUACAAUAUGUAAGUAUAAAUUCAUUGAAACUUUAACUUUAAUAAGAACUCUGUUCAUUUUAAAACCAUUUUCAACAUGUGAAUGACAAAAAUGAGUGUAAGCUACCGAUUUGUAGUUUUGCAAUAUUAUUGGCAUGCAUUUUCUUUAUAUGUAUUUUAUGUUACUAGUUGUAAUAAUAAUCAGCUGCAGUGUUUGUUUCUAUAUAGGCACUUAGGCUCAUAACAGGAACACAUUAUAGCAGGGAUUAAUAUUACUUUAAAAAAUUUUAUGAUACUUCCAAGUAUUGAAAUCCUUGCCAUUGUAAUUUUGUUAAGCAGUGGUGGGUGCUAUUCUAUAAAUGCCAUUUAAUUCUGCUUUAUUGAAUAUCCAUAUACAUUGAGGUUAAAUGAAAUAACUUCACACCAAUGAAAUAAUACACACAGUUCAAUACCUUAGUUAUAAGCAUUAUUGGGAAACUGAACAUGCACCUAAAUGGGGUGUUGUUGCAAAAUUGCUUUUGAAGUCGGCGAAAAUCAAAAUGUCAUUUUGAUAACCUUUGGCAGAAACGUGGGAGAAUAUUGUUCUUAUUUUCUAAAUUACUAUGCUUCACACAUGUUUUAUAUACCGUGGAAUGCAAUAAGACUAGACUUAGUAUAUUGUAGGGUAAGCCAUCCGUAGUAGAUGGAAAGAUUAUUAUUGAGUAUACUCCCACAGACCCAAGCAUAAAACCACAGAAAGUGACGAGGGAGGUCAUCAAUGGAGAAUUAGUGCAGACUAUGGAAAUCGGAGAUGUAACUUGUAAGCGGUUUAUGAAACGAAUGGAUUCAGAAGUUUGAGCAGUAGCCACAGCGGGUCUUGUGGUUUUCGAACUGUAUUUUUGUUCAUGUGCAAUGACUUUGAAAAAGGGAUCAAUAUUGUAUCGCAAUAAUAACUUAUAAAAUAUACAUUAUAAAUCUUUUUAAAUUACGA
rnacentral:misc_RNA from 1 species